rnacentral:ncRNA from 1 species
CAUGACUGUGGCUGAUGAUCCUUUUGGUUUUUUGGGUUUCAAGCAAGAGAGGUCAGAGAAGUUAUCACAGGAAUAACUGGCUUAUGGCGGCCAAGCAUUCAUAGCGACGUCACAUUUUGAUCCUUUGAUGUUGGCUCUUCCUAUCACUGUAAAGCAGAAUUCACCAAGUAUUGGAUUGCUCCUCCACUAAUAGGGAACAUAAACUGGGAUUAGACCGUGAGACACAUUAGUUUUACCCUACUAAUG